rnacentral:rRNA from 1 species
UGGGUAACCUGCCUCAAAGAGGGGAAUAGCCUCCCGAAAGGGAGAUUAAUACCGCAUAAUAUGUUUAAGUCGCAUGACUUUAACAUCAAAGGUAUUUUUCUUUUAAGAAAAUUCCACUUUGAGAUGGACCCGCGGCGCAUUAGCUAGUUGGUGAGGUAACGGCUCACCAAGGCAACGAUGCGUAGCCGACCUGAGAGGGUGAUCGGCCACAUUGGAACUGAGACACGGUCCAGACUCCGUAGGGAGG